rnacentral:rRNA from 1 species
CCCAUAUGGUCGACCUGCAGGCGGCCGCACUAGUGAUUUGAUUAAGCCAUGCGAGUCGAGAGGGUUCGGCCCUCGGCGUACUGCUCAGUAACACGUGGAUAACCUGCCCUAAGGAAGGGGAUAACCUCGGGAAACUGAGGAUAAUACCCUAUAGGAUACCGAUGCUGGAAUGCCCGGUAUCCCAAAGCUCCGGCGCCUUAGGAUGGAUCUGCGGCCGAUUAGGUCGUUGUUGGGGUAACGGCCCAACAAGCCGAUAAUCGGUACGGGUUGUGGGAGCAAGAGCCCGGAGUUGGAUUCUGAGACACGAAUCCAGGCCCUACGGGGCGCAGCAGGCGCGAAAACUUUACAAUGCGGGCAACCGUGAUAAGGGAACCUCGAGUGCCUGUACAUGCAGGCUGUCUGGGUGUCUAAAACACACCCAAAGAAAGGGCCGGGCAAGACCGGUGCCAGCCGCCGCGGUAAUACCGGCGGCUCGAGUGGUGGCCACUUUUAUUGGGCUUAAAGCGUUCGUAGCUGGGUUGUUAAGUCUCUUGGGAAAUCUGGCAGCUUAACUGUCAGGCGUCUAAGAGAUACUGGCAAUCUUGGAACCGGGAGAGGUGAGGGGUACUUCGGGGGUAGGAGUGAAAUCCUGUAAUCCUCGAGGGACCACCUGUGGCGAAGGCGCCUCACCAGAACGGCUUCGACAGUGAGGGACGAAAGCUGGGGGAGCAAACCGGAUUAGAUACCCGGGUAGUCCCAGCCGUAAACGAUGCGCGUUAGGUAUGUCGAUGACCACGAGUCAUCGAGGUGCCGAAGGGAAACCGUGAAACGCGCCGCCUGGGAAGUACGGUCGCAAGGCUGAAACUUAAAGGAAUUGGCGGGGGAGCAAAUCCCGCGGCCA